GUAUGUUUGACCCUAGGCCAGUCACUGGCUUUCUCUGAACCUGAGACAGUUCAUACGUAAAAUAAUUACAAUAGAAUUGUUAUUGGGAUUCAAUCAGACUGUCAUGUCUGCACAUAGUAGGUUCUCAGCCCUGUUCGCUGUCUGCCCAGAUACCCCUGUUGUGCUGAGAGUUUUCGCUGUCAGCCUGCGGCAUAAGCCAGCUCUCACACUUUCCCUCAGCUAGUCUGCUGUGUGCUGAUGUUAUCUCAUUCAGCAGAGAUAGCUGCUGGGAGCUGACCUUCAUUUUUAACUGUCAGUUUCCUUUGAACUGUUAUCCCUCAGAACAUUGCAGUUUAUUUAAAACCAAACAAACAGAAUAGACACCGCCCAUCCAACUACACUCAGUGUGAGACUCUGUUGUAUCUCUUAUAUUGGAAGUUCUUUGCUGACAGUUUAUCUAUGGAAUUGAACCUGUAGGAGCAUGAAGAAGGAAGAUGAAGAAACACACACACACACUGCAUUCCUCACUUGUUACAAGAGUACAUCUUCCAGAGAACAAAUGGAAACUUCUGUCUCAGGAUCACUUAAGCCUUUUAAGUGUUCCUGAUAAAUAUUCUAUUGCAUGGUACUUGAACACUUUCUAGCAAAAUGAUGGAUUUAACUUAAUCUCAAGCCAGGUUUUGGUACCACAUCUUCAUGCUGAAAAGUCCUGGAAAAUUCAGCUUGGAUGACAGGUUCCUUCCAUCAUAUGCCCUUGAGAAGAAACAGCACCUUCAGCCUGUUCACCUGCAUGAAUCUGGCUGAAAUGAGAGUUCCUGUCUUAUUCUUAGUUUUAUUCUUUUAAGAAGCUGCAUCUUCCCGCCCUUAUCUCUCUCCAGUGAUUCAUUUCAGUUUCCCCAGCUGACGCUGAGGAUUAAUAGUUCAUCAUCCAUUUGAACCCAGGCUCUUCUUAUUAGACUCAAUCUGUACAAAGUCAGAUUCAUUUGACAGAGAUUUGUUUUUUUAUGGAUUCGAAACACACACAUGCACUCCAGAAUUUGUUAUUGUGAUGCCAUAUUCCAAUGGUUUUAAAAAAAUGCUUCCAUUCACUAAAUUCAGCAAAAUAUAAUGAGAGUUUAAUGGGUAUCAAGCUCUGUGCUAACCGAAUAUGUGCAGUGGUGUAUUAUUUAGGGCUCUCCCAAGAAAUAGAAUAUAUAUAUUUAUAUAGAACGAUAUAUGUAUGAUAAUAUAUAUGAUUAUAUAUGACUAGAUGUAAUUAUUUGUAAAUAUGCAGAGAAUAUAUAUAGAUAUAUAUGGGAUUAUAUGUAAUUCUAUAUAAAUUACCUAUAUAUAGAUGGAAUAUAUAUAUUUAUAUAUAAACAUAUAGGAUAUAUAUAAUUAUAUUUAUAAAUAUACAGGAGAUAUGGAGACAGUCAGGGGAGAGAGAGAGAUUUACUGUGACAAAUUCCCUCAUGAGGUUACACAGGCUGAGAAAUCCCACUGUCUACAAACUGGAAGCUGGUGGUGUAAUUCCAGGCCAAGUCUGAAGGCUGAGACCAGGGAAGCCAAGGGCACAAAUUCCAGUUCAAGAACAAGAAGAGACCUACAUCCCAGCUCAUGCAGUAAAGACGGAAGAAAGAUCAGAUGGAUACAGUGACCAAAAAGCAAGUUUGGAAAAACCAGUGUUUGAACUAUUGCUCAGUUACUUCUCCUGAAGGCUGCAAGGGAAUCAGGCAGGGAAAAGAACAUCAUUUCAGACCAAUCGCGUUCCUAUGUGAGAGAACAAUCUGGAAAGUGUGGAUCUUGCCCAUGGGUGUACCAAAGCUGUGUUCUGAAGUAUCAAAUGCCUGCUGUGAUGGUUAAUACUAAGUGUCAACUUGAUUGGAUUGAAGGAUGCAAAGUAUUGAUUCUGAGUGUGUCUGUGAGUACGUUGUCAAAGGAGAUUAACAUUUGAGUCAGUGGGCUGGGAAAGGCAGACCCACUCUUAAUCUGGGUGGACACCAUCUAAUAUUCUAGCCAGCACGGCUAGAAUAUAAGCAGGCAGAAAAACGUGAAAAGAGAGACUGGUCUAGCCUCCCAGCCUACAUCUUUCUGGAUGCUUCCUGCCCUUGAACAUCAGACUCCAAGUUCUUCAGUUUGGGACUCAGACUGGCUUUCCCUGCUCCUCAGCUUGCAGACGACCUAUUGUGGGACCUUACGAUCAUGUGAGUUAAUACUUAACAAACUCUUAUAUGUAUAUAUACACUCCCCUUCUAUUUCAUAUAUAUAAUAUAUGUAUAUAUAUAUAAUAUAUAUAUAUACACACACAUACUCCUAUAUAUAGGAGUAUAUAUAUGAAAUAUAUAUUAUUUAUAUAAUAUGUAAUAUUUUAUUAUUAUAUAAAUUAGUUCUCACUAAUAAAACUAAUACUCUAUUAGUUUUGUCCCUCUAAAGUACCCUGACUAAUACACCUGCCUUUUGAUGAACAAACUUUACUUCCCCAGUUAGCAAUGGCUCCGUUUAUUCACUCCAUGUGUCAGAACUUCGGGGGGACACAGCUUAAAUGUGAUUCUCUCCAUUAUUCCAUCCAUGACCACCACUAUUAGAUCCCCUACCAAUAUUCUUCUAUAGCAACCCAUUCUCCUUAGGUGACAGAUGCCAACUUAUAAUUCUUUGUUCAGACUGUCUUCCCCACUAGAAUGUAGGCUUCAUGAGGUCAAGAAUGGUGACAGUUUUAUUUGUUUCUAUAUCCUCAGUCUUAGGCAAAGAAGUUAGUGCAUAUUA
rnacentral:lncRNA from 1 species